ensembl:lncRNA
AUUAAUUAAGAUAUUGGAUAAAUGAUGGACAUACCACAAUUGAGAAAAGCAGUGGUUUAACUUUAUUUUUUAGAGAAAAACUAUUUAAUAACAGAAAUGAACAUUGCGUAAUAGGAAUGAAAUCUGAGCAACAGGAAUGUGUGUGUGUGUGUGUGUGUCCGUGUGUGUGUGUGUGUCCGUGAGUGUGCAUAGCUUGUGUGUGUGAGAGACCGAUUUCUGAAGAUAUGUGCCAUGUGCCCUAGGCUUCUGGGUUCUCUCCAUCUUCAUCUACAAAACAAAAAAUGUUCAGUUGCAGAAACUACAUCCAAUAGUGUUUUAGCUAGAAUUGCACUCAAUACAUGAAAACAAACUUCCCUGACCCUUUCUAAAAAGCCUUCUCUAGUUUGGCCUAGCCUUCUCUCUCACUUUUCAUGUGACGACCUGUGACUGGCCUUGGUAGUGUGAUGAUACACACAAUGUCCUCAAACAAGGACCAAAGAAUAUCUUUGCGGGCUGGCCAGACAAACCUGUUGACCCCAAUCUUUUGCAUACAACGGACUUCAACAUGUGUUUCACUUGUAUCUGUGAUGACACCAGGGUACAGAUUACCAUCGUACUUCAGCACACUCCAUUUGCCAACAACUUCACGACAUUACCAACAACGUCUGUCACUAUGGGAGCCAUGGGAGCUGUCUGCUGGUUGCUGAACUUGAAAUGCUUUGCAUUAAAGCACCCACAGUUCAGAGUUUGUGUUGUUGUGCACAAGCAGCUGACGUCCCUGUAUGUCAGUUCUCCAUGGGCUAGGGACACUACCUAAUGGAUCCUCAUAAUGGACGGAACUGGUGGCUCAUCAUUGGGCAUCUCUGAAACUGCUUUAUCAACUGCUUCCUCGCUGACAAUAAACAACUUGAUUUUUGUGUCUGUCUCUUGCAACACAGCAAACAGGUCUUCAGCAUCAGGAAUGUCUCUUCCUUGGCUGACUAGACUGUCAGCCCUCCUCUUCAGGGCCCCUCCAACACCAUCCCGGGGCACCCUUCCCGUGGCUCGCCUCAAAAAAGUUCCACGUCCCUGCAGUGAAUCCUCGCCUGAGCAGCUCAGUACAACUCAAGAAAAAAUUAGCACUGGUGACAAGUGUUGCCAGAUUGCUGGUGGGCCCUUUUUUCUUGAGAGUGACAGUGCAGAAGCACAUCAAUUGAGGGGUUGCAUACACAUAAAGCACACACGUGUGCAGUGUUGCCUGCUGAUGUGAUGCUCCGGAGUGGACUGACUGUAUUUCUGUGCUGUACUUGCAGAGGUAGUUUUCAGAAAAGUCAACAUAAAUUAAGCAUUCAUGUGCUUUUAAGCUUUGUCUCAAUGCCCUGUAGUGGAUAAACUGAUUGUUGAUGUUAAAAGUGUGUCUCUUAAACCUAUGCAGCAGCAGGUUUAGCUGUUCCAGCAAUUCUUCUAGAGUGGUGUGGAACUCUUUUUUUUUAAUUGUGAUUUUAGAGGUUUUGCCAAUGGGGUCAUGCUGCUUAUCCACAACUACCCACUGAAUAUAAGACACUUUAUUCUCUGGAUUGUACUCUGUAGAGACUGGGCAAGAACGGUCCUUGCACUCCGAACAUUCUCCAUACAUACACUUCAUAUUUUCUGUGUCACAUGAUAUCUCUUUCAAAAGGUCAUCCAGAUUGAUGGUACUGAUUACUAUGAAGUAGUGUAGCUUUUACACAAGAAAACCCAGAUUCUCAAGCAUCCUGCACAUGCACGUGUCCUGAUCACUCCGGGUCGGAUGAACAAUCCAAAAAGGUCUGAGCUUACAGAAGAGUGAGUAAGAGAUGGAGCUUUGUUCUUCAGCCAAAAACUUCCUGUGCAAAUUUUUCAUGGUAUCCAAAAGGAACCGUUUUUGCUUUUUGUUAUUCUUCUGAUUGCCUCUUCCCAGUUCUGAUGCGACUCACGUCAUCCAUUGAGUAAAAACCCCCACUCUGCGUAUCAGACCAUCUGCAACCCUGUUGUUCUGCUUCCUUUAAGCUUCAUGAAACAAAAGGGACUUCUGAGCGGCCACACUUGGAAGCUGUCUCAGCUGUUCGUUUACUUUUGUGCCUGGAGAUGCAUUUUUCUUUUUAAUGUGCUGGAGUUUUUUCUUGUACUUUUGUGCUUUUUUGGAUACUUUUUUCAACAGAACCUUUAGUUCUUUCUUGUUUUUCAGCUUCUUCUCUGCCCUUGAUUAUAUUGCCUAAAAACACAUGCAUCACAAUAAAUUACACACUGCAAUAGUCAGGAAAAUGUACUGUUAUGUUGAUAAAUUACCCUCUAUGACCUGAUUGCUAAAUUCAUAGUGUAAUGUAAUCAUGUCAAUUUUCAUUAAACCGAACCCCUCUAGCACAUUGUCUUUGGCACAUGAUCCAUUUAAUAAAGUAGACCUGGAAGUGCUUGGCUGUGGAUGCACAGCUUGCUCUGGUGAUAACUGGGGGCUGUAUGGCGGGGUGACAAGGUGUUGGAGGGCUUCUUUCCUGUCCCGGAUCCUAUG